ACGAACGCUGGCGGCGUGCUUAACACAUGCCAGUCGCACGGAAAGGCCCUGCUUUUGUGGGGUGCUCGAGUGGCGAACGGGGGAGUAACACGUGAGUAACCUGCCCUUGACUUUGGGAUAACUUCAGGAAACUGGGGCUAAUACCGGAUAGGAGCUCCUGCUGCAUGGUGGGGGAUGGAAAGUUUCGGCGGUUGGGGAUGGACUCGCGGCUUAUCAGCUUGUUGGUGGGGUAGUGGCUUACCAAGGCUUUGACGGGUAGCCGGCCUGAGAGGGGGACCGGCCACAUUGGGACUGAGAUACGGCCCAGACUCCUACGGGAGGCAGCAGUGGGGAAUAUUGCACAAUGGGCGGAAGCCUGAUGCAGCAACGCCGCGUGCGGGAUGACGGCCUUCGGGUUGUAAACCGCUUUCGCCUGUGACGAAGCGUGAGUGACGGUAAUGGGUAAAGAAGCACCGGCUAACUACGUG
rnacentral:rRNA from 1 species